UUGAUGAUAUGACAUUUUGUCAUGUAUUUGUAAUUUUUUAAAUCUCAACAGCUCAUUGAUAAAGGGAUGUACGAAGAAUUGAUUCGAAUCUUUAUAAGGUAAAAAAAAUUGAUUACACUACUUACUAUUAAUUUUACUAUCCUGCCAUUUCCGUGUUUCAAUACAGCUUCAUCAGAUCUCUAUAACCGCGUUUCAUUCAUCCAGCUUCGACAACGAAGGAAAAACUUUAAGUUCAGUUCAUUCUUCCAACUAUGAAAAUGUUAAACAGUUUUUUCAUCCGAGUUUGGUGUGGUUAUGCAUUCAAUUUCGACUUGUUGUAUUUGGUUUUGUUCCCUGAUAAUGGACUCACUGUUUAUCACCUGCAAUUUUCAUCUCCGGACAAAAGCUUGAAAAUGGUAGAAGUCAAGUAGAAGCAUACUAUGAAAAUAUGUGAAAACAAGCUCAAAAUCGUCUUCAACAGUGUAUCUUUUGUAACUUUUGUAACGUUGUAUUACAUUAUCCAUAUUUAUGACAACAUUGUAUUAGUAUCUCUUUCA